GGGGCACUAGCUCAGCUUGGUUAGAGCGCACGGCUGAUAACCGUGAGGUCGGCAGUUCGAAUCUGCCGUGCCCCA
rnacentral:tRNA from 1 species